CGGAAAGUGAUCGCUUCCAUAUGAAGACU
rnacentral:sRNA from 1 species